GGGCCCUGCAGGCUGGAUAGACUGACUUGGUGGGCCCGAUGCGACCCGCAGACCAUAUUUUGCCCACCCCUGAGUUAAUUGUUCUCUGAUACUAUUCAAUGGCAUGGCUCUGCGAGUGUCUCUGAAGUGCUCGCUGUGAGCGUAGCACUAUUCCAAGUACCAACUGAAGAUGGUACCUUCCCCAAGAAGUAUCCAAAGAGGAUCAGACCAUUGCAAGUGCAUCAAUGUAAGGUGCCUGUGCCAGUUGGAUAAAUAUUUUGGGAUUUGCCCUGUUAUAACAAUGACCUCUACAGUGCCUUACAAUUCAUAGUCUAAAGUGCUCAGUCCAAGUGAUCAAGCCCUACUGCAAUUAAUCAAGUGGUAUACCUCCAGUUUCGGGUGUUGGGCUCGAGCAAUCAAGCCAUACUAUAGUUAAGCAAAUGAUAAACCUCCAGAGCGAUCAAGGGUUUUGUGCAUGUCAGUCUUGCCCACAACAACCAGAGAUAGAUCCAAAAGUGUAGCAUUUAGAACACAACUGUCAGCUGUACAACUCCACCCUGUCAGCUUUAUCUGGACCCGGAUCUUCAACCCAUCAAGAAAAUAUGCUUUGAAGAAACAGUAUAAAGCAAGACAGAAUUGCCAACAAGGUGUGUGCAGUCCAGGAAAGACCAAGAAGCCAUCCUGCCACCCAGCCAACAAGUGAAGGAUCCACACUUUGAGGGCUGUACAAGAACUGCUUCUUGCCUGCAUUGGGUAAAGAUCUCUUUGGAGCUAAAGCAAUACUAGGACUAUUAGCUCACUUUAUAUUAGGAAAGAGUCUUUUUCUGUUACUUAGUUUUGUAGCUUGUUAGUAGUUAUUAAAACUAG